AUGGGCCCUGUGCCAUCCCGGUGGCGCGGCGCGUGCGAGCCGGGCGUGGCGUUUGCCGCCUCUACGUGCAACCGGAAGCUCAUCGGAGCGCGUUACUUCAACAGGGGUUUUGUUGCCGCGAACCCCGGCGUGGUGAUCAGCAUGAACUCAACACGCGACAUCCUAGGCCACGGCACGCACACCUCAUCCACCGCAGCGGGCAGCCCCGUGCCGGGCGCGUCUUUCUUCGGGUACGGGCUUGGCACUGCCCGCGGAGUUGCCCCGCGUGCUCAUGUCGCCAUGUACAAGGUCAUAUGGAACAAAAAGGGGCUUCCAUACGCGUCUGACGUGCUGGCCGCUAUGGACGCGGCAAUCGCGGACGGCGUCGAUAUCAUCUCCAUGUCAAUGGGCUUGGACGAUGUGCCGCUGUACGAAGACCCCGUGGCCAUAGCUGCUUUCGCCGCCAUGGAGCGUGGUAUCCUCGUGUCUGCUUCAGCGGGAAAUGCCGGCCCACGCCCCGGCAAUUUGCACAACGGCAUCCCAUGGCUGCUCACCGUCGCGGCUGGCACGGUGGACCGGGCAAUGUUCUCCGGCACCGUGUCUUAUGGCAACAACACGACGCAAGGCACCAUAACUGGCUUCACGAACUACCCUGCGAGCGCUUGGGUGGUGGACAAGAAGUUGGUGACCUCAGCGUGCAACUCAUCGGUGUCGCUAGCGAACCUAACAACGAGCAUAGUCGUGUGUCGUGACACUGGGCGUGUCUUCAGUCAACUGCUCGCCGCGCUCGAGGCCGGGGUCGCCGCGGCCAUCUUCAUCAGCUCGGAAGACGUGUCAUUUUUUCGGAACAUUUCUAUGGACACCAUGUCGCUCCCAGCCAUUUUCAUCAGCCCGGAAGACGCACCGGCGCUACUCAACUACAUCAACUCCUCCACAAUCCCAACGGCGACACUGAAGUUCCAGCAGACGAUCCUCGGCACACGGCCAGCGCCGGUGGUCGCCGCGUAUUCCUCUCGGGGCCCGUCGCGUAGCUACCCCGGCGUGCUCAAGCCAGACAUACUGGCUCCUGGGGAUAGCAUUCUCGCGUCGUGGGCACCCGUGGAUCCACAGGGAAUGAUAGGACAGACCGCGCUGGCCAGCGACUUCCUCGUCAUAUCCGGGACGUCGAUGGCGUGCCCGCACGCCAGCGGCGUGGCGGCGUUGCUUCACGCGGCGCACCCGGACUGGAGCCCGGCCAUGAUCAAAUCGGCGAUGAUGACCACUGCGACCACCAACGACAACGCAUUCCGCCCAAUCAUGGACGCUGGCGCCAGCCGCAAGGGCAACUCCACCGCGGCGAGCCCGCUGGCCAUGGGCUCCGGGCACGUUAGCCCCAACUCGGCCAUGGACCCGGGGCUGGUGUACGACGCCGGGCCGAAGGACUUCGUGGCGCUGCUCUGCGCCGCAAACUACACCGGAGCCCAGAUCGCGGCGAUCACUGGGUCGUCGACGGCGUACAACUGCUCCUCCUCGUCCAACGACGCGAACUACCCGUCGUUUGUGGCCAUCUUCGGCACCAACGCUACCACCGGGGAGAUGCGCUUCGGCAGGACGGUGACCAGCGUCGGAGCGGAUCCGGCGACGUACCACGCCUCAUGGGAUUCGCCGAGCAACGUUGUUGUGGCCGUGACACCGGCAACGCUGGAAUUCGGCGGCGCAGGGCAGAAGGCCUCGUUCGAGGUAGACAUCAAGCUCACCGCGCCUACUCCCGGAGGCGAGCCUGCGUACGGGGCCGUGAUGUGGACCGACACCAGCGGCAAGUAUCGCGUGAGGACUCCCUACGUAAUUCUUUGA
rnacentral:rRNA from 1 species